GAGCCGAGCCGGUCAUGGAUAUGAAAAGACGAUUUUGCCCCUGCGUGCUGUUUGUUGCUUCGACACCUGGGGGUGUCUUCGCUGCUUCACUCCACAGAGCGGUAGAUAGUGAAGGAAGUGGUGCUGUUUGUUAGCAUCUGUCAAACUGAGACUCUUGAUAAUCUGAUUGUGUUCACAGCAAAUACACAAGAAGGUGCAAGCGCUGCUUUGAGUCUUGCCGGGACAAUUCUUCGAUUCUACACUGUGAGGGUGUUCCCUUCUGAGAUAGCUAUUGCACCUGUUAACCCAACAUUCUUGCCUCCAAUGAACCUGAGAUGUGUGCAAGAAAAUAUAUACUUUACAAAUAUUGACAAGAAGAGAGUGUGUAAUGCCACGAGGUAUAUGUAAGGGUAGGAGCAGCUCAAGUUCAGAAAAUUAGGAAAUAUUCAAUUUAAGAGCAAUGAACUUGAAACUUUCCAGAUCCGAAGUUGACAUGCUAAGGUACAACAUACUAAAAUUUCAAGCAAAUUGGAGUUCAGCAAACAUGGCAAAAGAUGGAUGGAAACAGACUGAACUGUGCAGUUUUCUUCAGAGUUUUUGUAGCAACCUGGAAUGUAAGAGGGAAAUCUCUCCAUAGUGACCUUAAUCUGCAUGAUUUUCUGCAGCUUGAUAAUCCAUCAGCCAUAGGGCUGACUUCGAUAAGAUUGGACAAGGUGGUUUUGGGGCUGUUUACUAUGCUGAGCUGACAAGCAAGAGAAAGGGAUGAGACGAAACAAAAAGAGAGAGAGACAAGAGAACAGGCAAGAACGAAAAGAAGGAGAAGAGAGAGACGGGAAGCUUUUGCUUAGAUCGUACUUUUUACGUUUUGAACAGCUCCAGUUUUUAACAAGAAGAUCGGCUACUUCGUCUAUGUAAUUUUGCUGAUGGAGAUCUUCAACAUCAGUGGUAACUCAUUUCAUAUAAGAACAUGUUGUAGACAAUGUCUAUUGGAAGCAUGUUGUGCACCGCAUUGUAGCAUGUAAGGUUGUACUGCAUGGACAUGCUGAGUUUGAGGCAAGUGAUGUUAUCGUAAAGGUUAUUUGUUUGGAACAAAUAAACACUACAAACUGAAAGCACACUGGAAGAUCACAUGAUGAUCGUUACUGAUGUUGGACUCCUGAACAGAAUAAGGACAAGUCAAUGAGUAAAAUAGAGGCAAUGUUUGAAGCCGAACUUGAGAGGUUAGGGCUAAACAGCAGUACUUCUACUUUGGAGCGAAGAUUAACUUGAGAGGUACAAAGCCUAUGCUGAUCAUUGCAAUGUUAAGUUUAAGCAGCACAAGUAAUUGGUAUGUUUUACUUGAAACGUAAAGUAGUGAAAAAAACCCUCAUUUUUGUUCUGGUUUACUUGCUUCCAAACAGUGUUCAUCAAGUUUCUGAAGAUUACAUUUGGGAAAACUCUAAUACUUUACAGGCCAGUGUUUACAUCAGAGGAAGUCAAGUUUUGGCAGCCAUAACAUCAACAACUAGAACUUGCCUGGUGGCUCCAAAUGAUGACAGAACACUAAGCCUAGACGCUUUACAGAAGAAUGCACCAAUUGUGAAGAACAGAUUGCUGCUGUUAGAUUUGUAGCACCAUCAAGGUGGAAGCAGCUUCUCAGGAUUAUGCUCAUGUCAAAGCGUCCUAAAAUCCCACCUUCUGGCCCAAGCCACAGGACCAACAAGACACCUAAUUCCUCAAGAGAUUACUAAACACUUCUGUUAUUUGUAUACAGAGAACAGCAUUUCCAACUGAAUUCUGGUUGAAAUUUUUUGGCUCGCGGGUACGCUUUCUAGUAUAUUUCUAUAUAAAUCUA